rnacentral:rRNA from 1 species
CCUACGGGAGGCAGCAGUGAGGAAUAUUGGUCAAUGGUCGGGAGACUGAACCAGCCAAGCCGCGUGAGGGAUGAAGGUACAGAGUAUCGUAAACCUCUUUUGUCAGGGAACAAAGGCGGGGACGUGUCCCCGGAUGAGUGUACCUGAAGAAAAAGCAUCGGCUAACUCCGUGCCAGCAGCCGCGGUAAUACGGAGGAUGCGAGCGUUAUCCGGAUUUAUUGGGUGUAAAGGGUGCGCAGGCGGUCUGUUAAGUCAGCGGUCAAAGCCCGGGGCUCAACCCCGGCCCGCCGUUGAAACUGGCAGGCUCGAGUUGGAGAGAAGUAUGCGGAAUGCGCGGUGUAGCGGUGAAAUGCAUAGAUAUCGCGCAGAACUCCGAUUGCGAAGGCAGCAUGCCGGCUCCACACUGACGCUGAGGCACGAAAGCGUGGGUAUCGAACAGGAUUAGAUACCCCGGUAGUC